rnacentral:rRNA from 1 species
GGGGAUAACACUUGGAAACAGGUGCUAAUACCGUAUAACACUAUUUUCCGCAUGGAAGAAAGUUGAAAGGCGCUUUUGCGUCACUGAUGGAUGGACCCGCGGUGCAUUAGCUAGUUGGUGAGGUAACGGCUCACCAAGGCCACGAUGCAUAGCCGACCUGAGAGGGUGAUCGGCCACACUGGGACUGAGACACGGCCCAGACUCCUACGGGAGGCAGCAGUAGGGAAUCUUCGGCAAUGGACGAAAGUCUGACCGAGCAACGCCGCGUGAGUGAAGGAGGUUUUCGGAUCGUAAAACUCUGUUGUUAGAGAAGAACAAGGAUGAGAGUAGAACGUUCAUCCCUUGACGGUAUCUAACCAGAAAGCCACGGCUAACUACGUGCCAGCAGCCGCGGUAAUACGUAGGUGGCAAGCGUUGCCCGGAUUUAUUGGGCGUAAAGCGAGCGCAGGCGGUUUCUUAAGUCUGAUGUGAAAGCCCCCGGCUCAACCGGGGAGGGUCAUUGGAAACUGGGAGACUUGAGUGCAGAAGAGGAGAGUGGAAUUCCAUGUGUAGCGGUGAAAUGCGUAGAUAUAUGGAGGAACACCAGUGGCGAAGGCGGCUCUCUGGUCUGUAACUGACGCUGAGGCUCGAAAGCGUGGGGAGCGAACAGGAUUAGAUACCCU